rnacentral:rRNA from 1 species
UACGUAGGUGGCAAGCGUUGUCCGGAAUUACUGGGCGUAAAGGGCGUGUAGGCGGUAAAUUAAGUCAGACGUGAAAACUCAGGGCUUAACCUUGAGACUGCGUUUGAAACUGAUAGACUAGAGGAUCGGAGAGGGCAGUGGAAUUCCCAGUGUAGCGGUGAAAUGCGUAGAUAUUGGGAGGAACACCAGUGGCGAAGGCGACUGCCUGGACGACACCUGACGCUGAGGCGCGAAAGCCAGGGGAGCAAACGGG